rnacentral:rRNA from 1 species
GACGAACGCUGGCGGCGUGCCUAAUACAUGCAAGUUGAGCGCUGAAGGUUGGUACUUGUACCAACUGGAUGAGCAGCGAACGGAUGAGUAACGCGUGGGGAAUCUGCCUUUGAGCGGGGGACAACAUUUGGAAACGAAUGCUAAUACCGCAUAAAAACUUUAAACACAAGUUUUAAGUUUGAAAGAUGCAAUUGCAUCACUCAAAGAUGAUCCCGCGUUGUAUUAGCUAGUUGGUGAGGUAAAGGCUCACCAAGGCGAUGAUACAUAGCCGACCUGAGAGGGUGAUCGGCCACAUUGGGACUGAGACACGGCCCAAACUCCUACGGGAGGCAGCAGUAGGGAAUCUUCGGCAAUAGACGAAAGUCUGACCGAGCAACGCCGCGUGAGUGAAGAAGGGUUUCGGAUCGUAAAACUCGGUUGGUAGAGAAGAACGUUGGUGAGAGUGGAAAGCUCAUCAAGUGACGGUAACUACCCAGAAAGGGACGGCUAACUACGUG